CGAGCAGGGCUCAUGCCCUGGGCGCCAUGGUGGACCCGGAAAAGGGGGGCGCACUGGGGCGGCAUAUAUAAAGUGCAUUUUAUUGUGACCGCAUCGCUGUGGUUUAAAAUUGUGCGGUGCGGGCCUCCCGGCUGAACCAGAGUGUGCGGCGCUGGAUGGCCAGGGGCUGCUUUCACUCCCGGUCCUCCUCUAGCUGUAUCGCUGCAGCAGCAUGGAUAUACUGGCUGCUGGACAGCGUCGCGCUCCCUGUUCAGCCUCUGCCCCGGGGACAGUGUGUCCCUGCAACGGGGGUGUUUUGUUAUUUAUGCUGGCCCCUCCAGUGUGUGCGGCGCUGGAUGGACAGGGUGCACUCUCCUUCCCUGUAAACUUUUAGCUGCAGCUCCGCAGCCGCCCGGCCUUAAUUACCGGCUGCUGGGCGUGCUGAGAUCCUUGGCUGCGGCGUCGCUCUCCCCGGCCGGCCUCCACCCCGGGGACACUGUGGCCCUGCUGCUGGGGAAUGAGACCAGCUACUUGGAGGCCUGGUUCAGGAUAGCCAAGCUGGGUAUGGUCGCUGCCUUCCUCACCUACGUCUGGACACUGGAGAGGGCCCCUGAUGCACUGCCUGGGAUCCAGCUGCCUCAUCACCAGCCCAGGCAUCUUCCGGACCACGGGAUAUCCUACAUGAAAGUGAUUACCGAAUGAAGACUCCAUCUUCCCAGGGAGGAUACAUGUCUUCAGAGGUUUCCCAUUGUGAGAAACCAUCAUAUAGACAAGGCACACGUGACAUCAUGAUGUCAUGCGUGCCACACUGCUUACAGAGUAACCAGCCACAGCAUGAAGAGGAGCAGCCGCAGCCAAAAAGCACAGAAGAAGGUAAACAAAAUUAAACAUUGGCGCAGACUAUCACAUCUGAUGUGCUUCAUUGUUAAUUAUAUCAUUAGCUGGUGCCGGCGUUCUGAUCAUACUCCGGUUACCAUGGAGCUCUCCUGCGACGCGGCGCAUCCGUGACGUCACGGUUGGGAGACGCGCAAGUGGAUCGCGACGGCUGGCGGGCGGGUGCGCCGUGGAGCAGGUGAGUAUGGUUAGUGUUGUUAAAUGUUGGUGGUUUCUGCUAUAUAUGUCUGUUAUGUACCUUAUGUUAGUUAGUUUGGCCCUGAGGACGGAGAGUAUUCUCCGAAACAUGUCGGCCCGUUGCCAAUAAAGGAAUUAUUCUU